rnacentral:misc_RNA from 1 species
GCCAGGGUUUUUAUUUUUAUACUUUAAACUUUGAUUUUAUUUUUAUGUUUUUUAAAUAUUGGUGUUUUUGAAUGUGUUGUUUAAAUAACAUAAAAAAUAAAAUAUAUAUUGACAUGUAUUAAACAAAGAUAUAUAUUAUUUUAUGUUGUAUAAAUAAAUUGGCAAAAUAGAGAUGGAAGAUAAAAAUAUGGUCAAAGUAAUAAGAGUCUAUGGUGAAUGCCUAGGA